rnacentral:rRNA from 1 species
UACAGAGGUCCCAAGCGUUGUUCGGAUUCACUGGGCGUAAAGGGUGCGUAGGCGGUCGGGUAAGUCUGAUGUGAAAUCUCACAGCUUAACUGUGAAACUGCAUUGGAUACUAUCCGGCUCGAGGAAUGGAGGGGAGACUGGAAUACUUGGUGUAGCAGUGAAGUGCGUAGAUAUCAAGUGGAACACCAGUGGCGAAGGCGACUACCUGGACAAUUGCUGACACUCAGGCACGAAAGCAUGGGGAGCAAAAGGG